ACACAUAGGGAGACACCAAUGCUUGGGCCGGCGCGGCAAGGUGAGUGAGCACAUCUCAUCCAUGGGCCGGUCUAUGAUCCCCUCUCUCUGUCUUUCCCCAUCAGCACGCACAGUAUACUCGUGCACAUUCACCACCUCGCGACGGCACUACGCUGGUGUUGUAAUUUGUUUUCAAUUUAUCCAUCGAUCUAGCUAUGUUCAGAUGGAAUACAUUUGUGUUAUGCGUGCAUACCAGCCCGGUCAAUUCCCAUAAUUACUGGAGCAGAACGAACGGUUUGCUCACUAAUACGGAGUAGUUUCAAAGAGGGAUGAUCGGUGGCAUUGCAUAGCACGCCGUAGUGUCUAAGAUCGAUUCGUUCAUUCAAAGCCCGUGUGAUGUUUAGGAGCCACAUCAAUUCAGUGCACUAGCAGCAAUGGCACAUUUGAGGUGUACUAUCUAGUGCACUGAGUUUUCAAUUCAUUAAACGAUAUUUGUCUAUUAAUACCCGUAUGAUGCUCCAGAUUUGAUUGAUAUUAUUCACAUCAGGAUUUGUUUUUUUCCUUCCAUUUAUCAAGUUGUGCAUGGAAUUUGGAUUCCCCCCCCCGAAAUAAUCAAAGAACACGUAGCAUUUGAAUUACAGUCCAGCAAGGCUAAUUUGGACGCACGUCCUCAUUUCCGAAAGAAAAGAAAAACUCUCUAAAUCGGGCUAAAGCAUGUGCAACACUAUUAUCUUGCUACUCAAUUUUGUUAAGAGUAGUUUAUCUUCGAGAAGACGCCCUUCGUAGAAUCGCUAACAGUGAGCGAUCUGUGCAUCGAGGCUCCUUCAUUCUCUACAAAAUCACCGGCAUGUUGCUGACAACGAUGGUUGUGCGGUGCCUCAAGGCAGACUAAAGUUUGAACGCGGGAUCACAUCCCAGUUGGCUCAGGCAGAGAGGUCUAUCAUCCCUAACAAUUGUACUCCAAGCCCUCUCCACGGUGUAGCUAGCGUCCGCAAUUAAAUGGCAACCCACUCUUGAUCCACAUUUAGACCUACGGAAAGCACACGUGAGGAAGAGUGUUGAAGUAUAAGUGUAUUGCCCAGUCUUUUUCAUCAGAUCGGUUUCUUGGUUGCUUUGGCUAACGCAUGAAGCUCUUCACUAUAUCCAACCGAUGUCCGGUGGCUGCCAACUGAAUUUGAUGUAAACGUUUGAGAUGAAAAGUAAUUUAAUUUUGCAUAAAUAAUACUCUUAUCAAGUGACUCAAUUUUUUUUAAAUAUGGAUGUUCUAUACCCAAAAAACGUUUAGAUACAUGUAAUAUUUCGUUACUUAAUAUGAGACGGGGAGAGUAGUCUUUUAAUCUGAACGCACGGCCAUUGUGCUAACUUAGUAAUAUCAGUUAUUAGGAAACAUAAACUGGAAAUUCCAACGCAGUUCAGGUAUAUUUAAGACGAUGUGAGUUGUGACAUUGUGAGUUGAUAGGUGUUUUGCUAGUGACGAAGCGUAAAAUCCAUUGUUACGCUUUCCCUGGCCGUCCUCUGCUUCACACUCUUGUUCGCGCGUGGCGGAGCUCGGCGCGGGUGAGGUGAGGGCCACGGUGGCCUGGGCGCGUGGCGGUGGUAUCCGGGAGUCAGGAGCGGCCCGAUUGCGCUGGAAGCUCUUCGUCCGAGGCCACUGCGGCCCGAUUCCGACCGGCGGAGCCACGGCAGCUGGCGGCUCUCCUGAUUGCUACGGUCGGCGAUCUGAAUCCGAUGUGCGGCAGCCCGAUGCAGACGAGACACAGCGGCCGAACUGCGACAGCGACGACACUGGCUAACUACGAGGUAAUUAUGAUUUAUGAUGGCUUGAUUGUGAUUAGGGCUCGUUAGGACUUCGCAAGGAAUAGAUUCAUUUUGCGCACAAACAUCUCUGAAAUUGUUUUUUCUUUUCCAUGAAAAAGCAGUCAUCUCUGCAAUUGUGGGUGCACAAACAUUUCUGAACUCCUUGCCUUGCGGUACAAUUUAAACAACAGAUUUCCACAAAUUGGAACAAAACUCGAGAAAGAAAGGCAAAUUUCCCCUGAUUUCCUAAAACAAAUGGCACACAAGAGUUCAAAAGGUAAAUAGACAUAAACCAAUGGAAUGCAUGCAACUUAUGAGAACAUAAAUGAAAAGUUCUUUCUUACAGAUUUUAGACAUGUAGUUGAUCACCCUCGAAUGUUUAUUCUAGGACAUACAAUGAUAUAUGUGCUCACAUAGUAAACAAUGUAAGUAAUCAACGACAAAGUCACAAAACACCGUGGAUAUAUACUAUUAUCUUCCUCCUGAGAGGCCAGAUACUGUGCCGAAGCUCAAUGUUAGUUGCGGAUAUGACACGGAAGAUGAGUUCAAUCCAUUGUUUUUCAUCAAGGCUGCCAUGUUCAAGCUCAGUUCCGUCUGCCUCAGCUCAGGUAGUGGCAUAUCACCAUCGAGGUAUUGCAUUACUUCUCGCAUCCUAGGCCUUGAACUAGGAAGUGGAUGCAAGCACAAAAGUCCCAGCUUUAAGACGAGGCAUGCCUCAUCGACAUUGUAGUCACCUUGGAGCCUAGUAUCAACUGUUUUAGUAACCAAUCCGUUUUUCCAAUGCUCAAGUACCCAAUCGACCAAGAAAACUUCGUUUCCCUCCGCAUUUUUCUUCACAGGUUUUUGCCCGCAAGCAACCUCGAGAAGGAACAUGCCGAAGGCAAAAACAUCUGUUUGAGGAGAUGCCUUCCCUGUGCGCAGUAGCUCGGGGGCUAGGUACCCCUUUGUACCAACCAUAUGUGUGGUUUGUGGGUCGGUGCCAUGAUCAUAUAAUCUUGCAAGGCCAAAGUCACCAAGCCGCCCAUUCAUUUCACCGUCUAGUAGCACAUUGCUUGCCUUGAUGUCUCUAUGGAUCACUAUCUUCUCCCACUUCUCAUGGAGAUAGAGCAAGCCGGUUGCAAUGCCUUUGAUAACCCGAAACCUCUGAACCCAAUUCAAAAUGACCUUGUGCUCUUCGAAGUGUAGAUAUUUGUCAAGGCUACCAUUUGGCAUGUAAUUAUAAACCAAAAACAGUUCACCUUUUCUCCGGCAAUAACCAAGUAGCUGCACAAGGUUGCGAUGACGGAGUCGACCGAUGCUAACAACCUCUGUGACGAACUCUUUCAUCCCCUGUCUUGAUUCAUGAGACAUCCUCUUCACAGCAACCUCUACAUUCGACAAGGGAAGCACUCCUUUAUAUACUUUCCCAAAACCUCCUUCUCCAAGUAGGUGCUUGUUCUUAAACCCUCCGGUGGCAUGGAACAAAUCCUUGUACGAGAAUCUGUGCGGACCAAACUCUUCCUCCCAGUCCUCACGCACCUCAGCAUACUUCCGUCGUCUUCGCACAACUAGUGUGAAGAGUGCCUAUAGAGAGGAUCAACGUUGCAGUGGCUAUUGGUAGGACGAUUGCCAAGAGCUUGGACUGGGCCUUGGGACCAACAAGAGGCAACUUGGGAAGCUUGGAGAUGUCAAUGGAUGGAGCUGGUCUAUUCAUCCCAAAGCUCCAGCCCAGCACAUACUCACGGGUGUUGAUGAGAGUAGCUAUGGAUGAGAAUCCAAUGUAUGAAGCCGAGUCAGAGAGUACAGUUGAGAGAUCAUAGGUUGCAGAGAGCAGUGGCCUUGAUGGUUUGCCCAUGUUGAUUGGAGCCAAGGUCACAUUGAUCUGCUUAUCACCCUCAUCAUAGUCUACCCACAGUUGCAUAGCCUUGUUGCCGUUCAGCGUCAUGUUCUUGAAGGCACCACCCUCGUCUUCAUAGAAGCCAGAGGUGCUGGAUUUCAAGGAGACUGCACUGUUGAUGUUGAUACCGAUGUGGUUGUCAUUGAUGUCUUGGAGCUCAGCAUUUUUGUAGGUGUCGAGCUCAAUCAUGAAGAUGUGUUUGUUUGCUUCACCAUUGUUCUUCUCAUUGAGGAGGCCAAAAUACUUGGCGGCCCGUGCAUCAGAGAAGUUCUUGGUGGGGGCGAUGAAGAAAGCCAUGCCAUCAGCGCUCAGGUCCGGGUACGUGAUGAAGAUGCUGAAAACUACAUGGACUGAGAAGGAUUGAACUUUACCACUGGAUGACUUGCGGAAAUGCAGAGGAGUUGGGUAGAAGGCAUGACCGCUGAGAACAGCUGUGCCGUUGGACAGAUCAAGGAGUCCGCCGUCUGUGACCAUGGCACUGCCAUCGAGGCUUAGGCUGGAUUGGUUGAAGCCGGAGAAAAUAAAUUGAUCAUCGCUGAAGGCCAAGGUUGCAGCGAUAAGACCAAGCUGGAGGAGGAGGAAUUGCUGAAGGAAUGAUGUAUGCUUCAUUGAAGGAACGCGUGUGACUUGCAAGCUGCAACUCAAUGUGUGAGGCAAGUGUUUCGUGGCAACCAAUGGUAUAUAGCUUGAGGUUGCACUGAGUGGUGCAGUAUUUUAUAUCAUAAUUACCUUGCAGCAUCCUACCAAGUCUACUCUCUGGGUUUCAACUUUCAACAUCUAUCGUUGUCUAAACACUUUAAUAGUUGAUGGAGACAGCGAUAUUUGUUCAGGUUAUUGUCAAUCACAUUUUAGAAUUGAUUUUAAGGAACACCUAACAAAUAUUACGGUGUCUAGAUUAAGUUGCAUAGCAUGUAGUAAGACAGUGCCAGGUAGUUCAAAUCAAUUUCCUGGCAUAGAUGGGAGAUGUGCAUCAGGUGAUGUAUUUGUAGUGGUGCGUGUGGGUUGUAACUUAUAUGUCUCUGCUUUAUACCCUUAAAAUAACCUCCUACAAGAAGAAAUUGCGUACUCAUAUAAGUUAUGACUCCAAAAGUAAAGUUCUAAAAAGAACCACCAAAUUUACCACAAAAAGCUAGAAAUUCCCAUGCAAGCGUUGUUUAGCAUUUAUGUUUUCAUCCCAGAUUUGUGAACACUAUCAAACUUAACAAAAGGCUAUGUCGAACUAAGACAAUGAUUCUGGGGUUCGUGGGGUUUUGUCGGAGAUAUGAAGAUAGUAGAUCUGAACAUCGCUGUUCCGUUGCAGCAAAGGCAAAGGAUCCUAAUCAAACCAAAGGGACUGGAAUAAAAGUAAACAAUUCCAUUUAAAGACAGAAAGUAACUGAAAAUGAAGCUUCAUGGAACUUGUAAAGCUUUGAUGCAUACCAUGAUAUGGACAGUUUGUCCAAAUAGUAUUGCUGUCUGAGUUUCACUUGCGGAGAUUGCCUAGGGUGGAGGGAACUUGGCAUCUGAUAACUCAGACUUUGGAGUAUGAAAGGCCAGAAGCUGUAACCUUUUGUAGUCUUUUGUCAUGCAAAAUGAAUUAAAAAUAAAAAAUACAUUAAAGAUGGACAAUAACUGAAAGGAAGCUUGAUAUUACGUGGCAUGCUUUGAUGCGUAUGUACAUAUGGUCAUGGUACAAUUUGUCCAGACAUUACUUUUUGUCUGACCGGGAGAUACUGAGAUUACCUAGGAUCAAGGGAACUUGGCAUUUAAGUACUCGAACUUCAGAGUACCAGGUCCAGAAUAGCAUUUACCGCAGAUAUCUUAUGUACAUUCAGUAGAAAAUGGACUUGAAAAUAUGCUCUGUUUCUUGAAGAGGGUACCUAAAGAACAUACACUUCGCUGGAGUUCGGUUGUCUUCGUAACCGGUUGCAGGGUGUUUGUUUAGCCUUCUAUUCAGGCUGGGAUGAAAGUACCAUUAGAAGUUUCAUAAAAAAAAGUGCAAUUAAAAAAGAACACCCUCUUCACUGAUGCGGCUUGAAGGAGUAUGUAUGCCUUUAAAUCUACAUGCAUGAAUGUACUCUUAUUAUUGAGACACAUAUGACGGAUAGGACUUUAUUUUAAAAAGAGAUGGAUAGAUAUGUGAUCUAGUAGUAUUCCUCACCCACCAAAGAGACAGUAAUAUUUUUCUAUGAUUGAGUUAUAGUAGUCUUGAUUGCAUUCAAUUUGAAAAAAAUAAUCUUGAUUGCAUUCUGUGGGAAACCUGUGUAGCCUUAAGUAUGAGGACUCUUUGAAGCGUACCAAAUUUUCUCUGGUUUCCUGUUUAGCCACCCUUGCAGAACGUCAUCUCAAAAUAAUAUGUCAAGUCACAAAGAAAAGAGAACAGGAAACAUUCAAUGUCUUGUGCCUGUAGACUUUGAUUCUUGUUGCCUCUGAAGUUGCUUUCAUGACAUGACUCUGAUGUUGUCCUUUGAAUCCAUUUAUAUUGCAGUCUUAAUUGCAUUCGAGUUGAAAAAAAUAAUCUUUGAUUGCAUUCUGUGGAAAACCUGUGUAGCCUUAAGUACGAGGACUCUUUGAAGCCUACCAAUUUUUUUUUUGGUUUCCAGUUUAGCCACCCUUGCAGAAACUGCAUCUCAAAAUAAUACUCACUUCACAAAGAAAAGGGAAAAAGAAACAUUCAAUGUCUUGUGCCUGUAGACUUUGAUUCUGACAUGCCUACGAUAUCGAUGUUGUCCUUUGGGUCACAUUCAUGUCGCAGUCUGAGUUGGGCAUCAAGUGAUGUUUUUUAAUUUCAACCUUUCAAGACAAUAUAUAUGAACUAACUGAAUGGUGAUGAUUUUGUUUCCUUUUUUUUGUUCUUGCAAGGAUUGAAUUGUUUUCUAUAAUAUUCAUAUGUUCUAAAUACGCCAGUGUUAUAAUUUAGAGUACUCUAUAAUUUAAUUAGCAUAAAUUUUCCUUUCCAUCUUCCACGGAAUUGAGACUGAUUUUUACGGAACGUUUAGAUUUGGUGUACCUUUUUAAAUUAUUAGUUAUGCCAAAACUGCAAAGAAUCUUAGGUAUUCAUACAUUGGUAGCCAAAUUCUGGUGUUUUAACCAUUACCACCAAAAUUGUUUAUUAAUGCACGACUGACAUUCUUGGCAGAUAGAAUACUGGUAGAUGGAUGCAUCAUAUACUGGUCUACUGGCCAAUACUUCUUCCACAAUCGACUGUUCGUAUGAAUCAAAUUUCACAAAUCGGAGAUUUCUGGGGGGAUAAACAAGUUGCAUCUAGCUUGGUUUUUCUUCUCGGUUUUUUUUAUCCAUCUGGCCUUAUGAUUCUCCCAGAUGCCACAUAUGAACUGUUAUAAUAAAAGCAAGUAUGCUCCAUAUGAAUGUUAAAUACACUUGUUGGCAGAAGACCUUAUAAAAAUCUAAAGCUAGUGUUUUUUGGUACCGGUGACGUCAAUCAACUAGGAGUUUUUUUUUCUCACAACAAACCAAGAUGUUACAGGAAGGUUCUCACCAGAAUACACAUCAUAUCUAACCAAACAAACAAGCACACAAUGUUUUUACAGACAACCCAAAAUAUCCUUAAGGUAUAUAGGCUUCCCAUACAUGCCACAUCACACUUGCAGUCUACAUAUAUAUAUUCCUUAGGGUACGUUAUAAAAUAUAUUUGCUUAUUACACAUGACAAAAAACAUGCUCAUCUUCCUCCUGAGACGUGGGACAUUGUGCCAAUGCUUGUAGUCGACGAAGGAUAGGAGGCGAUGUAUGGAUCAAACCCUUCAUUUUGCACCACGAACCCUUCGUUUUGCAUCAAGGCUAGCAACUCCAAGCUUAACCCUGGAAGUUCAAUUUCCCCAUCUAGGUAUUGCAUGACUUGCCGCAUGCUAGGCCUUGCAUUGGCAAAUGGGUGUGAGCAUAGCAAUCCAAUCUUCAGCGCCAAGCUUGCCUCACCAACAUCAUACCUCCCUUCUAGACUAGCAUCCACUGUAUCACCAAAUGAUCCUUUUUGCGCCUUGUCGAUCACCCAAUCGACUAACACGAGCUGACUGUCUUGUGUGUUUUGCUGAUCGACAGGCCUUUUUCCACAGGUGACCUCAAGGACGAAUAUGCCGAAGGCAAAGACAUCAGUAAGAGGGGUGGCAUUUCUGCUUCGUGCUAGCUCUGGAGCUAGGUAACCUAUGGUGCCAACUACAUGUGUAGUCUGUGGGUCAAUGCCAUGAUCGUACAACCUUGCAAGGCCAAAAUCACCCAAUCGUCCAUUCAUCUCGUCAUCAAGGAGCACAUUGCUUGCCUUGAUGUCUCGGUGAACAACCACUUUUUCCCACUCCUCAUGGAGAUAAAGCAAGCCAGAUGCAAUUCCCCUGAUGAUCCGAAACCUUUGAGCCCAAGUCAACACGUCGUUAUCCUUUUUGCCAUAGAGACACUUAUCAAGGCUUCCGUUGGGCAUGUACUCAUAAACUAAGAGGAGUUCACCUUUGCGCCGACAAUAACCAAGCAACUGUACAAGGUUACGGUUUUGAAGGCGACCUAUGCUGACGAUUUCUGCGAUGAACUCCUUCAUGCCUUGCUUGGAAUCAUGCGAAACCCUCUUGACUGCUACCUUCAAUCUGGAUCUGGGAAGCACCCCUUUGUACACCCUCCCAAAUCCUCCAACUCCUAAAAGGUUCUUAUUCUCAAAUCCUCCUGUUGCAUUGAACAAAUCCUUGUAUGAGAACCGGUGUGGGCCGAACUCCAUCUCCCAGUCGUCCCGCACCUCUGCGUACCUUAAAUGCCUCCUUACAAGAAGGAAAGCUAUGGCAAUCAAAGACAGGAUGACCGCUGCCGUUGCAACCGGCAGAACUAUCUCUAACACCCAGAAUCGACUGUCCUUGGGAUGAUUCCGUGGAAGCUUUGGAAGCAUGGUGACAUUGAUGACUGGAGCAGGACUGUUCAUGGCGAAGCUCCAACCCAGCACAUAGUGUCGUGUGUGGAUCUUGCCUGUUGAAGAUGAGAAGCCGAUGUAUGCCACAUCUUUGAGCACAUCUGAGAGGUUGUGCCUGGCUGACACGGUUGGUCUCUUGGGCUUGGUGGCCAUGUCAAGAGUGGCCAUGGUAACAUUGACCUGCGUCUUCUCUCUGUCGUAGUCCACCCACACCUGCAUCGCCUCUUGGCUAGUGAGAGACAAGUUCUUGAACGUGCCGUCCUGGUCAUUGAAGAAGCCGGCUGGGUGGGACUGCACGGAGCUGAGACUGUUGAUGUCGAUGCCAACGUGGUUGUUGUUGAUGUCCCCGAACUCGCUGUUUGGCCAAGUGUCAAGCUCGAUGGCGAAGAUGUUGUUGGUUGUGUUGCCGUUGUUCGAGCCAUUGAAGAGGCCCAGGUACUGGACAGCCGUGGCCUUGGAGAAAUCAUUGCUCGGUGCGACCAACAUGGUGAGGCCAUGGCUGCUCAAGUCAUAUAUGGAGAUGAUGCCGAAGACGAAGAAGGCAGAGAAGGACUGCACUGUGCUGUUGGGCGAAUCACGGAGGCGCAGCGGAGCCGGGUAGAAGGCAUGGCCCAUGCUCAUGAUCGUGCCAUUGGUGAGCUCGAGCAAACCGCUUGGCGUGACUGAAGCCGUGCCGUUGAGGGUGAGGCUAGCGUUAGCAAAGCCGGAAUAGACGAAACGGUGGUUGUCGACGUCACCGGCGAUGAUCGAUGGUGCAUUAAGGAGAAUGUAAAGGAGCUUUAGGAAGAGCAAGGAAGUGGACUUCAUGUUUGACAUGGCCAUGGAGGAUGGCAAGAGCAGGGGCAUGGAUGGAUUCAUGGAUAUGUUUGUGGGUUGCAGCACCGCUCACCUUUUCACUCUACUCGGGUGGCAGAAGACGCACUGCCUACUACUAAGCUUACACUGCACGAUACCACAAGUCUUUCUACGCCACCCAUAUGAAGAUCCAUCGGAAAAUAUCUUUAAUGAAUCCAAAUUAAGUCACACACAGGCUAGAUUCUUUUUUCAGAUAAAUAUUGCCUAGCAUGUGUGAGGUAUUUAUGAUUUCUAAACAGUUUGUCAAUCUAAUUAAGCAAGAGACAGGAGGCUUCAUUUGCAGGUCGCUAUUCCGUUGCAGCAAGGGCAGUGGAUCGCAAUCAACCUUUUGAGAUCUUUUGUCAAGUAAAAUGGAGAGGACUAAAAGUAAACGACUGCAUUUAAAAGAGAAAUGGACAGCAACUGAAAACGAUGCGUCAGUUUGUCUAGACGACAACAUUGUGUCAGACUCUGAGGUUUGGAGAUUAUUUAGGUAGGAUCAAAGGGUCUUUGCAUUUUGCGUCCGUUGUAAUGUUUGUGCGGUUGUGGUCUUGUGUCAAUUGUCUUGGCUUUCUUAGGCUUGUAAUUCUAUUAUUUCGACACUGAGAUGCCAUCUAUGAAGCUUAACCAAGAGAUCGAGCUCCACUAAACAAAGGCAGUGAUUUUAUUGUGGGAUGUGGACAGAAAUAUGGAGAUAGUGUGUUUGAAAAUUGUUAUUCCUUUACAUCAAGGGCAGAGGAGAGAAACCCGACCAAUGUAGUCAACUAAACUGUACCGGAUUAUAAACACUUGCAAUUAAAGUUGACAGGUCUAGCUUUGAAGUCAUGAUAUGCAGCUAGGAGGCUAUGAUCUCGCAAGUCUGUCCAGACAAUAUUGAUUCGGAGGAAUUUCUGAAGAAUUAUAAUCCAUAGGUUUUCUCUACAUGGAUUAAUUCGGAGGACUGUAAUUUCUUAGGGUCAUUUGACUGACUGGAUUUUCAUAGCAUUGUGAUCCAAUGGAUUUGCUUUC
rnacentral:lncRNA from 1 species